GAGUCUGCGUAUCUCGAUGUUAAAUCAACAAAGCUGCUCGCCAGAACACUACGAGCCACAAGCUUAAAACUCAAAGGACUUGGCGGUGCUUCAUAUCCCUCUAGAGGAGCCUGUUCUGUAAUCGAUAAACCCCGAUCAACCUCACCACCUCUUGCACAUCCUAUAUAACGCCUGCUCAGCAAACAAAAAA
rnacentral:rRNA from 1 species